AGAAUCCUGAUGUGUUCGUUUUUAGCAAUUCAGUUUUGACCCAACAUAUUGUCGUAGGGAGACUGAAUUUCAUCAUGGCUAACAGGCCUUCUCGGAGGAAGUUAUAAGUGAUGGAGAGGUCACCCACCUGCUUAAAGCGGGUUCAAAGCGAUGCGCACCACAAAAGACGGCACGCUUGGGAUUCUU
rnacentral:other from 1 species